GGGGAACCUGCGGCUGGAUCACCUCCUUUCUAAGGAAGCUGUGGAACUGGUAAGACGAUCUUCCGACAAGUCUUYGACUUGUCUCGAGAUAUGAACCUUCCCGUGCUUUUUAGAACAUAGAUGGCACCAGUCAGGUGACCAUCGAAACGUAAUACG
rnacentral:misc_RNA from 1 species